rnacentral:lncRNA from 1 species
GAGAGAUUAGGCACUAACUCGGUGCUCAUGUUGUGGUUUGGCCCACUGGUGUUGGUGGGAAUGUCUUCCUGAUGGUGCCCUGUGUGCUGGAUCAUUUUGCCUGCAAGGCAAACUGCGUUUAUUAUGUAACGAUGAGUGUGUCUAACCACUGUCAACAAUGUGAACAUUUAUAACGGCCAACAGAGCUUCUGGCCAGGAUGAGAAGCUGUGGACUGCCUCACUGAAGUGUGAGAAUUCAGCCCAAAGUAAAGACACUUGACAUUCUGUUUUGCCUGAGCAGCCUUGUUAGAAGAAAAGUCCACAGGAUCAAGAACAAACUCCUGAGCCUGCACUCAAGAGUCUCAAUUUCCCAGCUUUGUCUCACCCCUCAGCUCAAACCAGGCCUCAGGUUCAGCCAAAUCAGGAAACUGAGGCCAGAGACUGUGCAGCAAUGUGACCCAAACCUUGAUGUCUGGGGUCCCACAGGCCUGGGCUGGACUCCCAACUCAGCUCCUUCCUGGCUCUGUGAUUUUGGAAGGCUGCCUCAUCCACAGAAGUUUUCAUUUAAUCACCAGGAAAACGGAAAUAAUAAAAAUGCCUCCUUCAUGGAGUUGCUAAGGAUAAAAUGAGAGACUGGGA